UGAAGGGAGUUCAGAUCCUCUCCUUGCAAAGACUUACGAGCAUGCGUCCUUGCAACGGCUGAGAUCAGCCGUUGCACAUCCAACGGCUGAGAUUAAAAAAAAAAAAAAAAAAAAUUCAGAUUUCUAUUCUAUUCGUUCCCGCCCGUCGCUAUAGUAUGAGAAUCACUCUCACUCCUCAGUUUCACUCCGCCUUGCACUCCUCCCACUCACUCGUCCCCCUUCACUGAAUCUACUCUCACCGGCGACCAGUCCCCCAGACGGCGGCACCGGCGACCCACUUCCAGGAACUGGGUUCUGAGACCAUAGAGGAAGCAGAUUUUGAAAAAUGGCAUCUUCCUCUAACAUUAGCAACAUAAGACUACAACCAAGAGUGUGCAAUUGUGGAAGAACCGCUGCCAUACGUAUUGUAAAAACCAAUGAGAAUGGAAAUGAAGGACGUUUGUUCUUUGUUUGCCCAUCAAGAUAUAGUAAGACUCCCACUCCCCAUUGCAAUUACUUCAAGUUCGUGGAUGAAGAUGAUGAAGACGUUACUCCAGAAUCCGUACGAACUAUACAGCUUGUGAUGGUAUAACAGUACAAGACUUUAACGAUGUCAGGACGAGGCUUCAUUCCAUGGAAACGAACUAUGGUCGAAGGCUUCAAAGGAUGGAAAGGAAUAUCAAAGCGAUGGUGUACUUCAUUGUAUUUGCUACGAUUUUCUACUUUAUGAUGUAACUUGGAAGUUUGUAGCAUUUUGGCUUGUAUGUACAUGAAGUUGUUAGCUUGUUAUCUAUUAUCUAUUUUCCUCAACUUGUGGCCUCAACUUUCGAAUGA